rnacentral:rRNA from 1 species
AUGGAGGCGACUGCAAUCUACGAUUCUCGGCUUGGGACCUGGGUUAUGGUGUCCGAUGGAGAAACUCCGACAAGUGCGGUCUUGGAUGGGCUCCUGUCACAUGCGUCUAUGUUGUUCCGAGGGGUGGAGAGCGCUCUCUGUGUUGGAGCAGCCUUCGGUUUGUGCUGGGCAGCUUGGAGGUACUACGAGCGCAACUCGUGCCUGCGCAGCUACGGCCGUGACAUGACCGGCAGCAAGCAGGCAGCCAGCCCGGUGGUCGGCCGGGACAGCGAGAUAGACCGUGUUGUCUCCAUCCUCUGCCGCAAGACCAAGAACUGUGCCGCGCUGGUCGGUGCUGCAGGAGUUGGCAAGACGGCCAUCGCCGAGGGCCUUGCACAGCGCAUCGCUGCCGGGAAGGUCCCUGCGGCACUCGCCGGGGCACGCGUCGUGGAGGUUGAUCUCACGGCGAUGGUUUCUGGGACUGUGUUCCGUGGCAUGUUCGAGGAAGGCAUAAAAAGCGUGAUAAAAUAG